AAAUCUACCAAAACAGGAGAAAAAGAUUCUCAGGCCAGUGUAAGACAAAAGUAUGCUUCGUUAUCAAUGGAAACCUACUGAGAAGAACUUGAUCCAUUCAAGAGCCAGUCAUGGAAGACAGCAUACUGACAGACAGACCUCCCUUUGCAGGAAUUCUGUACAGUGGAGCCUCCAAGCCCUCUUCACUGAGGACCAGUUCUUAAGAAUAUAAACAACGUAAAUCUUCGAGUUAAAACUUGCCAGAGAUAUCCACCUACGUUAGUAGUUCUCAAAUGCAGGACUCAAGAUUAUACUUCCAAGCAUACUGACUCAGUAGGUGGGUUUUUAUUACAAAUACCAAGAGAUAUUAUAAAAAUGUGGAAGACUUGAAGGCCACGUGUGAUAGUCACUAUCUGAUAUGAGAAUACCAAAAUCCCCUUGGCAGUAAGACUUAUCAAUACAAACUGAGAAUGAGAUGCUUGGUUUAUAUCUCAAUCUCUGGCAGAAUUUGAGAAGAGAAAAAAAAAAAAAGUAUACAUUCAUUUGAAUAAGACAUUACUCUUCACAAUGGAAAAAAAAAAAAUAGAUUUCUUAAGCUUUAAACAACAGACCUUGAUAUAUUUCCUAACUAAUGUUUGUGAGUCUCAUACUUCAUAGGAGGCAGCCCACGUGGUCUCACCUGGUAAGACCAGCUAGCUCACAGUUCCUGCUAUUUUUCUCAUUUCAGGAGAACUGGAUAGGAAAAGAGGUUUUGCUAAUAAGCCCAGGCCAUCUUGCUGAAGAUCCCUCAAAUCCCUAUCUCAGAAGAUAAAGAAGAGUCAAACCUCAGACAGAACUAAACUUUUCUUGAGGUCAGAGUAUAGUUCAGAAUUUAUGACUGUGAUUCAGGCAGGUCGUCACAGAGCACUGAGCUAAGCAGCAGCUUCCCACUGGCUAUUUUUCCGCAUGGCAGUGUCGUACAGAUGUCCAUGCUACUCUCCCAGUUUAUCCCACCCUCUCCUUCCCUUGCUGUGUCUGCAAGUCCAUUCUCAACGUCUGUGUCUCUAGCCCUGCCCUGCCAAUAGGUUCAUCAGUACCAUUUUUCUAAGUUCCAUCAGUUCAGUCGCUCAGUAUAUGUGUUAAUAUAUGGAACUGUUUUUCUUUUUCUGACUUCACUCUGUAUGACAGACUCUAGGUCCAUCCAUAUUACUACAAAUAAUCCAAUUUAGUUUUCUCAGUCUUUGAAUCUCUAAGUCAUGCAUUUUUGUUCACUCAUC